GAUGGAAUGCCUGAAAAAGGAUUAUUUUGAUAGAAUAAAACAUGUAUAAUUUUUAUACUUCCAUUG
rnacentral:tRNA from 1 species